rnacentral:rRNA from 1 species
AGAGUUUGAUCCUGGCUCAGAAUGAACGCUGGCGGCGUGUUUAAGACAUGCAAGUCGCACGGGGGAAUGUGAGUAGCAAUACGAGCAUUCUUCAGUGGCGCACGGGUGCGUAACACGUGAGUUACAUGCCCUGCAGAGGGGGAUAGCCCAGGGAAACUUGGAUUAAUACCCCAUGGUCUCGCAAGAGUAAAGGUGGCGCAAGCUGCCGCUGCAGGAUUGGCUCGCGGCCUAUCAGCUAGUUGGUGAGGUAACGGCUCACCAAGGCUACGACGGGUACCUGGUCUGAGAGGACGAUCAGGCACACUGGAACUGAGACACGGUCCAGACACCUACGGGUGGCAGCAGUCGAGAAUCAUUCACAAUGGGGGCAACCCUGAUGGUGCAACGCCGCGUGGAGGAUGAAGGUCUUCGGAUUGUAAACUCCUGUCAUCUAGGAGCAAGGCAUGGUGGUGAAUAGCUAACAUGAUUGAUAGUACUAGAAGAGGAAGGGACGGCUAACUUCGUGCCAGCAGCCGCGGUAAUACGAAGGUCCCGAGCGUUAUUCGGAAUCACUGGGCGUAAAGGGAGCGUAGGCGGCGUGGAAAGUCAGAUGUGAAAUCCCGGGGCUCAACCCCGGAACUGCAUCCGAUACUACCAUGCUAGAGUAUUGGAGGGGUAACUGGAAUUCUCGGUGUAGCAGUGAAAUGCGUGGAUAUCGAGAGGAACACCUGUGGCGAAAGCGAGUUACUGGACAAUUACUGACGCUGAGGCUCGAAGGCUAGGGGAGCAAAAGGGAUUAGAUACCCCUGUAGUCCUAGCAG